rnacentral:rRNA from 1 species
GCCCAAGGACAAGACCUAGUGGAAAAGAGGGCUCACUGAUCCCAUUUGACCUCAGAAGCUAAGUAGGGUUGGGCGUGGUUAGUACUUGGAUGGGAGACCACCUAGGAAGACCAGGUGCUAUAGGCG